rnacentral:rRNA from 1 species
GACGAACGCUGGCGGCGUGCCUAAUACAUGCAAGUAGAACGCUGAAGGAGGAGCUUGCUCUUCUGGAUGAGUUGCGAACGGGUGAGUAACGCGUAGGUAACCUGCCUGGUAGCGGGGGAUAACUAUUGGAAACGAUAGCUAAUACCGCAUAACAGUAGAUGUUGCAUGACAUUUGCUUAAAAGGUGCAAUUGCACCACUACCAGAUGGACCUGCGUUGUAUUAGCUAGUUGGUGGGGUAACGGCUCACCAAGGCGACGAUACAUAGCCGACCUGAGAGGGUGAUCGGCCACACUGGGACCGAGACACGGCCCAGACUCCUACGGGAGGCAGCAGUAGGGAAUCUUCGGCAAUGGACGGAAGUCUGACCGAGCAACGCCGCGUGAGUGAAGAAGGUUUUCGGAUCGUAAAGCUCUGUUGUAAGAGAAGAACGAGUGUGAGAGUGGAAAGUUCACACUGUGACGGUAUCUUACCAGAAAGGGACGGCUAACUACGUG